rnacentral:misc_RNA from 1 species
UAAUCCGAGAAUUUCACCUCCAACAGUUAAAUACGAAUGCCCCCAACUAUCCCUUUGCGCAUCAGUCUCACAAUCGAAACCAACAAACUUGGAGUGCGACUCUUUGGUGUUAUUCCAUGCUAAUAUAUAUGAGCCCCUGCUCGCUCGAAGCACACUGAUUUCCUCAAAGUAAAUGCGGCAGACCCCGUGCCGCAGAGUCAACUGCAGCGCGGAGAAUACCGUGAUGCCCCUGACAAGCUGAAUUCGCGUCCAAAGGACGGACCCCCUGUCCGCGACAGGCUUUCGACUACGAACUUUUUAACCGCAGCAGCUUUAAUAUACGCUAUUGGAGCUGGAAUUACCGC